rnacentral:lncRNA from 1 species
GUUUAAUAUAUAGAAUUUUGUGAAAGGGAUGGGAAGGCAUUUCCAGCUAAUGUGUUUUGCUGUUUUUAGUUCAUGUGAUAAUCUAACCUGGUCUUAAAUGUUUGGGACAUAUGUAGUUUAGGGAAUGACUUUGAUUUUAAAUCAUUAGGGGUUUUAUGAAUACCAUUUCCUGCCAACCAUUGUUGUGGGGGGUUUUGCUUCAAAUGUUCCUAUUGGCAGAUGAAUGAUUUCAAUGAAGUACAUUACCAGAUUUCAAUGUUUUCUGUUGAUGGUUUUAUCUAUUUGAGUCAAAUAUGCGUUUAUUUUUGCUUCAUGAAUUGAUUUGUCCUCCUUGUUCUUCUUGUUGUAAUUAUGAUAUCUAUUAAAUAGAAAUACUUGUCCCUAAAUUGCUUUUUAUUUUUAUGCUUUUAGAUUUAAUAUGAAAGAAGAUCGACCUUCUACCAAGAAAGGUAGAACCUUAUUGUCUUUCUUUUCAAAAAGUAACAAAUCUCAGGAUUCUCCAAUUCCUACGGUGUCCAUUCCUCCAAUUUCAUGCCCUGAAGUUGAACGGCCUUCAUCUUCAAAUCUUAAUUUUGAACCAUCUGAUUCUAUUGAACGAGACCGUGGAAAAAGAAAGCAAAUAUGUGAACAUUCAUUUAAUGAACGUGAUCAGAUUCGGCGGGCUUAUCUAAAUGUUGGACCUUAUCAACCAAAACUUUUGGAGUAUCAGAGCAAAGAAUGUGGAAAGCAGAAACGUCGAUUUCAGGAACAUUGGUAUAAUCAGUUUCCUUGGUUGGAAUAUUCGCCUUCAACACAUAAGGCAUAUUGUUUUUACUGCUUCCUUUUUCUCAAUGAUAGUACUCCACCUAAUAUUUCAUCAUUGGUUACUGUUGGAUUUGAUAGUUGGAAGAGGGUUAACCAAGGAAGUAAAUGUGCAUUUCUUAUUCAUGUUGGUACAACAUCGUCAUCGUUUCAUAAUGGCUGUAAGAGAAGAGCUGAAGAUCUAAUGAAACCAACUCAACAUAUUGACAAGGUAAUGCAUUCUGUAUCAAAUGAGGAAAAACAGAAAAAUCGUUUGCGUCUAAAGACCACUAUUAUGAGUGUUAAGUGGUUAGCUCUUCAAGGUUGUUCCUUUAGAGGCCAUGACGAAUCUCCAUCUUCACUGAAUCGUGGGAAUUUUAUUGAAUUGGUGGAUGCAUUUGCAAAAAUGAAUAUUGAAGUAGGAAAAGUUGUGUUGAGUAAUGCUCCCAAAAAUGCUACAUACACGUCUCCAGACAUUCAAAAAGAAAUAUUGAGCAUUAUGGCAAAUAGAGUACGACAAGGAAUUCGUACGGAAAUUGGGAAUGCAAAGUUUAGUAUUCUUGUUGAUAAAGCACGAGAUGAAUCUUC